AGUAGAGAUCUUGAAACUUAAAGAAUUUGGCGGUAUAUUAAUCUAUUUAGAGGAGCCUGUCCUGUAAUCGAUAAUCCACGUUAAUUUGAUUUAAGUUUGGAAAAUCAGCUUGUAUAUCGCUGUCGUAAGAUUAUUUCAUGAAAAAUUUUUCGAUAAUGAAUCCCUAUUUAUGACAAGUCAAGGUGCAGCAUAUGCUUAGGGUUGAGAUGGGUUACAGAAUGGGAACAUAUAUGGAUCUUUAUUUGUAAAAGUGGAUUGAAGGUGGAUUUAAUUGUAAUAAGGAAAUAUAAUUUCUUUAUGGAAAAGUACUAAUAUAUGC
rnacentral:rRNA from 1 species